rnacentral:lncRNA from 1 species
CCCCAAUAGGCCGACAAAGGUUAAUAACUGCUGUAAUAGAAAAUAUACUUCAUGAGUAGAGCUUUAUGAGGAUGUUGAUGUGGAUUUACAGAAUAGAAAAUAAUGAGGGGGGAUUUAAAGAAUAGAGAAAAAUGAGGUCCUAAAAUAAUGGGCAAAAAGUAUAAAGAAUAGAGAAAAUGGCAAACAUUUUAAAGAAUACAGAUAUGAAAGACCCCCUCCUCUCCAAUCCAGAC